rnacentral:rRNA from 1 species
AUUGAACGCUGGCGGUAGGCCUAACACAUGCAAGUCGAACGGCAGCACAGUAAGAGCUUGCUCUUACGGGUGGCGAGUGGCGGACGGGUGAGGGAUACAUCGGAAUCUACUUUUUCGUGGGGGAUAACGUAGGGAAACUUACGCUAAUACCGCAUACGACCUACGGGUGAAAGCAGGGGAUCUUCGGACCUUGCGCGAUUGAAUGAGCCGAUGUCGGAUUAGCUAGUUGGCGGGGUAAAGGCCCACCAAGGCGACGAUCCGUAGCUGGUCUGAGAGGAUGAUCAGCCACACUGGAACUGAGACACGGUCCAGACUCCUACGGGAGGCAGCAGUGGGGAAUAUUGGACAAUGGGCGCAAGCCUGAUCCAGCCAUACCGCGUGGGUGAAGAAGGCCUUCGGGUUGUAAAGCCCUUUUGUUGGGAAAGAAAAGCAGCAGGUUAAUACCCCGCUGUUCUGACGGUACCCAAAGAAUAAGCACCGGCUAACUUCGUG